rnacentral:rRNA from 1 species
CGUACACUCCUACGGGAGGCAGCAGUGGGGAAUAUUGGACAAUGGGCGCAAGCCUGAUCCAGCCAUGCCGCGUGAGUGAUGAAGGCCCUAGGGUUGUAAAGCUCUUUCACCGGUGAAGAUAAUGACGGUAACCGGAGAAGAAGCCCCGGCUAACUUCGUGCCAGCAGCCGCGGUAAUACGAAGGGGGCUAGCGUUGUUCGGAUUUACUGGGCGUAAAGCGCACGUAGGCGGACUAUUAAGUCAGGGGUGAAAUCCCGGGGCUCAACCCCGGAACUGCCUUUGAUACUGGUAGUCUUGAGUUCGAGAGAGGUGAGUGGAAUUCCGAGUGUAGAGGUGAAAUUCGUAGAUAUUCGGAGGAACACCAGUGGCGAAGGCGGCUCACUGGCUCGAUACUGACGCUGAGGUGCGAAAGCGUGGGGAGCAAACAGGAUUAGAAACCCUGGUAGUCCCAUGA